AUUGAACGCUGGCGGCAGGCCUAACACAUGCAAGUCGAACGAGUGGCGGACGGGUGAGUAAUGCUUGGGAAUCUAGCUUAUGGAGGGGGAUAACUACGGGAAACUGUAGCUAAUACCGCGUACCAUAGGAUGAGCCCAAGUGGGAUUAGGUAGUUGGUGAGGUAAAGGCUCACCAAGCCGACGAUCUCUAGCUGGUCUGAGAGGAUGACCAGCCACACUGGGACUGAGACACGGCCCAGACUCCGACGGGAGGCAGCAGUGGGGAAUAUUGCGCAAUGGGGGCAACCUGACGCAGCCAUGCCGCGUGAAUGAAGAAGGCCUUCGGGUUGUAAAGUUCUUUCGGUAGAGAAGCGUUAACUAAAGAAGAAGCCCCGGCUAACUCCGUGCCAGCCGCCGCGGUAAUUC
rnacentral:rRNA from 1 species